GUUCAACAGCAAACAAAACAUACACCAUUCUGUUCACAUGGAGUUCACAUUCUGGUGCAAGUAUAGGCAAAAAUAAGAAAUGACAAUGCAUCUUGGGCGUGAAAGGAGGGAACCCAUAGAACUACGGGAAACACAGAAGAUCAUGCACCCUCCUCUAGCCUGGGCAGUCAGGAAGACCCGGAGGAGGUGAUGUUUUAACUGAAGUGGGAAAGAUGAGCUGAAAUUACCCAGGUGGAGGUGGAAGUGAAGGUGCAUGUCCUGAAAAGAGAACAGUGUCAACAGUGACCUUGGGACAAGGAAAGGCUUGCAUAGAAUUUUGGCUUGGAAUUGGACUUCUCAAAGGUAACUAUUUGUUUUUUGUUUUUUUUUUUAAGAGAGAGAGAGAGAAUUUUUUAAUAUUUAUUUAUUUAUUUUAGUUAUUGGCGGACACAACAUCUUUAUUUGUAUGUGGUGCUGAGGAUCAAACCCGGGCCGCAUGCAUGCCAGGCGAGCGCUACCGCUUGAGCCACAUCCCCAGCCCUCAAAGGUAACUAUUAACAUGUUAGUGCCUAGGGCUACCUUUUUUUUUUCCUGGUACCAGGGAUUGAACCCAGGGACACUUAACCACUGAGCCACGUCCCCAGCCAUUUUUAUAUAUUUUUAGUCAAAGGGUCUAGCUGAGUUGCUUAGAGCCUCGCUAAAUUGCUGAGGCUGGCUUUGAACUCACAAUCCUCCUGCUUUAGCCUCCUAAGCUACUGGGAUUACAGGUGAGCACCACUGCACACAGCUGCAAGUCUAUAGUCUAUUAUUUGUUUUCUGCUUUUUCCCUGUUUCUCAUCCCUGUUUGUCUUCUCUUGGGUUACUUACACAUUGUUUAGGAUUCCAUUUUGAUUUAUUUAUCUCUUUGUAUACUUCAUUAGUAGUUGCUCUGGAUAUUACAAUAUACAAAGGUGAUAAAUCACCAUCACUAGUAUCACCAUUUUACCAUCUUACCACUCCAACAUCACUUCCCCAUAGAUACCUUUACUCUCCCCCUUUUGAUAUCUUGAGUAUCAGGGCAAAAUCUCAGUCAUGAAAUAUAAUUCAUAAAACUCAUAAAGAUAGUCUGUUGCAUGUAUCCAUAUAUUUCUGCCAUUUCUAUUUUUUCUUCUUCCUUCCUGAUCCUCCAAGAUUUUUUCUCUUAUAUCCUCUGUUUGUAGAACUUCCUUUACCCAGUCUUUAAGGGUAGCUGCUAGUGACAAAUUCCUUCAGCUUUCCUUCAUCUGAGAAUAUCUUCAUUUCUUCCUCAUUCCUGCAUGAUAGAUUAGCUGGAUUUGGAAGUUACAGUUGAUAGUUGUUUUCUCUCAGCACAUAAAAAUUUGGUAUUACUUCCUUCUACUUCCAUGCUUUCAGAUGAGAAGUCCACAUGAGAAGUUUGUUUGUUUGUUUGUUUGUUUGUUUGUUUUUCCCUCUGUAGGCCAUUACUCCCUGGCUGCUCUUAAAUAUUAUUUUCUCUUUUUUAGAAGUUUAACUUGGAUGGAUCUUUAAAUGGGUUUCUUCAAUUUUAUUUUGAUUGGAGUUCUCUCACCUUCUUGAAUCUAUGGGUUCAUAUACUAAACAAAUUUUUGGAUGUUUUUAGCCAUUAGAUAUAGUCCUUGAUGACUCCCAACCAUUCAAAAUUAGUGCUAUUUCCAUUUUACAACAGCAUGAAAGCAAUGCAGAGUCAGUAGAAACCAUUUUGCAUUUUGAUCUUUUGUCAGGCUGGCAAUGUGCACUAGGGGACCCUAGCCAUGGUGGGCAGCAGCAGUGAGUCACAGCUCCCCAUCAGCCACGGGGCUGUGAAGGUAACGAGCCAAUCCUGCAGGAGUAGUCUGUGUUGCUUCGCUCUGCUGUUCAGUAUAUCAGGUGUGAUACAUUUUUUACUUAAAAUAUUUUCAAAUCAUGAUGGGCUUGUCAGGAUGUAAUCCCAUAAAUCAAGGAGCAUGUGUAUUUGAGUGCUCUUUCAGCACCACUUUCCCUUCUUCCUUUGAGAAUUCCAAUAACACAAAUGCUGAUAUUUUGUUUUUGCCCCCAUAGUUCCCUGAGGCUCUAUCCCUUUUUCUUUUUCCUUUAGUUCCAAUUGGGUGAAUUCUGUUACUCCAUCCUUGAGUUCAUUAACUCUAUCCUCUGUCAUCUGCACUCUGUUAUUAAAGCUCAUUCAAUGAAUUUUUUAGUUCUGUUAGUUUUUUCUAUUGCUGCCAUAGACUUGUCGUAACAAGUCUGAACUUGUUAUCUUAAAACAACACAGACAGACUGUGUUACUCUUCCAUAGUUAAGAAUUCCAGCACAGGCUUCACAGGGCUAAUAUUAAACUGUCAGUAAUGCUACAUUCCCUCCUGAGAGCUCUGGGGGAGAAUCAGUUUCCUAACUGUUCAAGCUUCUAGAAGCUUCCCAUAGUCUUUGGCUCAUGGCCCCCUUCCUCCAUCUUCAAAGUCAACAAUGCUGUAUCUCUCUGAGCAUUCUUCCAUAGUCACUUCUCUCUCUGACGAAAGUUGAGAAAGAGUCUCUUCCUUUAAGGGCCUGUAUUAUUAGAUGGAUGAUGUGAAGAUACUCUAGGCCAAUCUCUUCAUCUCAAGGCCUUUUUUUCCAGCAAAGCAACAUAUUUACAGAGUCCAGGGAUUGGGAUGUAGACAUCUUUGAGGACCAUUAUUCUGCCCAACACAUAUCAUAUUUUUUAUUUCUAUAAUUUCCAUUUGAAAAUAUACUUUUUAUUAAUAUACUUUAUUUUUAAAGACAGUUUUAGGUUUAUAGAAAAACUGAGUGGCUAGUCCCGAGAGUUUCCCAUUCCAUCCUCACCCCCAUUUCCCCUAGUAUUAAUAUCUUACACCACAGUAACGCUUGUGUUACAGUUAAUGAGCCAACACCAAAUCAACCAGGUCCAUAGUUCACUCAUAUUUCCUUCAUCUGUUCCCCUCCUGGAUACAAGGGGGCUGCUCCACUCCAUGAGUGCACCCUGGGUAGAAAGAAGGCAGAAGAUGGAGAGGAGACUGAGCAGAAGACCAGCCAACCUGCCAUGUCUACUCUUUUUUUUUUUUUUUUUCUCCUCUAGCAGGAAUACGAUGGCAUUCCAGAAGCCCCAGCCAGGGCACCUCUGCUUUUCUCUUAUUAACCUUUUACCCAACAACUUCUAGCAGCACAGGAGCCUGUGCAAGAGUGAGUGCCUGGGGAGGGGUGGUGGGUGGGCGUCAGACAAGUGCUUCGCUGCUUUGUACAAAAUCUGGUUCUGCAGUAAGGAGAGGAUGGAAGGAUUGGGGCAGAUGGCAAUGUCUAGCCCAAAACCUAAUUAUCUAGACAGCCUAACACUCCCAUCCACUAGCUGAGGAAUUCUCUCCCACUAGAUGAAUCUAGAUGGGGAACUUGGGAUUGCUUAGUAAAUGCUGAGUCAGAACUAAGAAUCAACUAAGAACAGUGACAGCUGAUUAUUACUGUGUGCUUCGUGUGUGUGUGUGUGUGUGUGUGUGUGUGUGUGUGUGUCAGAAAGACAGAGAGAGACUCAGGAAGCAAAGUUCAAAAGUGAAGGUCCCCACAGAAGAUUCCUAUAAAAGUGUUAUUGCUCAGAAGCUCUCAAACACACCUAGUGAUCACCAAAAUCCAGUCCCCUCUCCUUACCAGGCACACUUCCCAGCCUCCCUUGUAGUUAAGUAUGACUCCGUGACUAAAUUCUCUUAAUUGGAAGUGAUUGGUGUCACUCUGGUCCUGGCCAAGAAUCCUCCCAUGCUAUUCCUCAUGCUCUGUCUUCCUGCCCUUCAGCUGAAGUGACCCAACAGUAGAGUCAUCUUGGGAUCCAUGUGCGAAACUGGCAGACUGGAAGGCAGACUGUGUCCCUGAGUGGGCAUGUGGAGCAGAGCACCCACCCACCCCUGCUGGAGCGUUCACCCUGGAAUGUUCCAUGGGAUAAACACACUCUCUGUUGUGUUCACGUGUUUGCGUGAUGGGCCUAUUUAUAAAAGUUGAUUAAUCCACCCUGACCAUGACUCCAGCAAUUUAGCUGAGCCUUCAAAUGCAAACAGUGUCUCUUCUCCCAACUCUCUGUCAAAUUUUGGGAGGCACGGUUCAUUUUAGUCCCCAGCUAUUGGGAAAGAACAGGCCUGGAGACAAAUAGAGAAGGAGCCCUGAGGGUGGAUUCCUGAGCUUUGGCUCAGGCCUUACUGAGGAGCUCAGGUUUAGAUGACCUUGGGCUGUGGAGGGCCUGCUGACACACUGGAGAGAACAUGCCU
rnacentral:lncRNA from 1 species